rnacentral:rRNA from 1 species
CCUACGGGAGGCAGCAGUGGGGAAUAUUGCACAAUGGGCGCAAGCCUGAUGCAGCCAUGCCGCGUGUGUGAAGAAGGCCUUCGGGUUGUAAAGCACUUUCAGCGGGGAGGAAGGCGGUGAGGUUAAUAACCUCAUCGAUUGACGUUACCCGCAGAAGAAGCACCGGCUAACUCCGUGCCAGCAGCCGCGGUAAUACGGAGGGUGCAAGCGUUAAUCGGAAUUACUAGGCGUAAAGCGCACGCAGGCGGUCUGUCAAGUCGGAUGUGAAAUCCCCGGGCUCAACCUGGGAACUGCAUUCGAAACUGGCAGGCUAGAGUCUUGUAGAGGGGGGUAGAAUUCCAGGUGUAGCGGUGAAAUGCGUAGAGAUCUGGAGGAAUACCGGUGGCGAAGGCGGCCCCCUGGACAAAGACUGACGCUCAGGUGCGAAAGCGUGGGGAGCAAACAGGAUUAGAUACCCGGGUAGUC